AGGAUUUGAAUUGUUGUGGAACUUGACAUUUACAUCUCCUAUGUUAUCCCUGGGAUUGGGCUGACAACGCCAUCAGUGGGGAUACGUGACCAAACAAGUACAGGUAAAAACUAGUGAUUUUGAAGGUUUGAGAUACACAAAAUCUUCACAAAAAACAACUUUAAGUUUCUGUAAAAAAAAUUUGGGUAAAAGGCCAGAUAAUGUGUUAGAUAAUGCAGAUUUGGGUAUUCAUGGAUCAAAAAGUCAGGAAUUACCUGUGUUUCAGUGCUGCUGCUCUACACCUCCAGUUGCUGAGAUUGAGAGUUUUGAACAUAUCUUGUUAGCUGAACCACUGUGUAAGGAAGGAAAAAUGCUCCUUGUAAGUGCAAAACAGCAUUUAUUUUAAAGGGCUUAUUCAUUUGGCUUUUAUAUCCUGCUGAAGCAGAGAGAAAGGAGCAAGAAUAUGUUUAUAUAAAGCACUGGUGUUGUAAUAGCAGUGCAAUAACUAUUUUUAUGUGUGUGUAUUGACUCCAUUAAUGAGUAUGUGUAGUGGGAAGUUUCUGUCUGAGGGAAUACCAGUUCUUGAAGUAUAAUAUAUCUACAUGUACCACAGUGUGACUGUCACUCAUUAGCUUCAGGAGAAGAGUUGUCAGUUGUAUCUUGAUGAAAGUCGUGAGUAACAGAUGCAUUAUUUUCAUCCCAUGAAAUGACAGUUUGUUUAUGGCUUUUGUGGAAGGUCAUAAUUUUGUAUAACUAACUUUGGUGAAGUAGUCUUUAAUGGGACUUUUUGUGUGCAAUUAUUGACUAUUUAGGAAUUCUUUCUUCUGUUUUAAAUCCAUCCCCCGCCCCCAAACUUUAACAUGUAUAAAUGUAACACUCUCCUAUACCUGGCUCCUCUAUAUGGCAGAUUUGAAAACUGUGGGAUUCAAGCCUUGCUUGUCUUAUAAGUGACUGAUUUCCACUGAAAGAUAGACACCCACAGGUAUGUCUUCUGUUAAGGAGAAUCCCAUGUGUUGGUGUGCCUACUAUUUUCUGCAAGAACAUGUAAGUUAUGAGACACCCAAUUGAAAUUUCAUCUUCUGGAGCAACAUAUAGGGGUCUCUUCAAACUGAGAGGAGAUAACAAGCUAGCAUCAUCCCAGCACACUGUCUAGCAGAUAGGUGAUGUCAAAGACGAGUGGGGAAGAUGAAGCCAAGCAGGGACACAGCAUCUUGGAGAAAAAUCUGCCUCAUCACAACUUUGAGUGGCAAAUUGCCAGGCCCUACUGUCCAGAUAUGACUUUUUGACCUGGGAUAGAGCAACCCCCUCUUUCUCAAAACUCCCACGUGACAACUGGGAGAAGCUCAGAAAUAUUCAGGGAAGGCCAGUUGCUGAUCAAGAUGGCCAUACGGGCUCCAGUGGAUGCCGCCGACACCACAGGCAGAUAUAUGGUCGCAACAAUGACGAUGAGCAGAGAAUCCUGGCUCAGAGCAUUGGGCAACCCUAGAGAGGUUCAGGUCACAAUCCAGGAUUUAUAUGGAACUAUUUAGUGAGUGAAUGGAUAGUGCUUUACACUCUUUCAGAGACUCAAACGCCAUCCUGCACUCCCUGGGUUUUACAUCCCAUCCCUGUACCAUAAGCUGUAUCACCCUCAACCCCCAUCAAGACAACAGGUGCCAACCUGUCAUUCUAGGCAACUUGAGUACAAUGCCUUCCUCCUACUUGGCAAUGCAUCGUGCUUCUACAGAAUUUCAGCAAAUUUGACAGGAUGGUUGGGAGCCACAUCACAUCUAGUCCAGAGAGCAUGAACUUCAGCAGCCACCUUACCCCAUGUGUGUGGCCUGCCGUAAGCUUGGACAGAUGGAUGUUAGAGAUCAUUGCCCAUGGCUACCCCAUCCAAUUCUACUUUUUAACCCGUAUCCACCUCCUUCUCCUAUCAGGGACCCUUUGCACAAGAGCCUGUAAAAAGCAGAGGUGACCUUGUAGCUUUGCCUUGGAAGCCAUGGAGGAGGUGCACCAGAAUUCAGGGGAAGAGGCCUGUACUCCUGGAGUUUCUUAAUCCUGAAGAAGAAAAAGGGGGUCUUUGUUCUGUCCUAGAGCUGAGAAGGCUUAGCAACUACUUACGCCAUCUUAGGUUCAAGGUGGUAAUGCUUGCCUCCCAUCUUUCCAUGUCUUCGAGCUCAAGAUUUGGUUUGUGGUUCUCAAUUUGCGCAGCACAGAUUUUGACAGACAAUGCAUCAACAGUGUAUUAUAUAAACAAGAUAGGAGUGCUCGGUCAUAACCCCUCUAUCAGGAGGUCAUCAGGCUAUGGACCUGGUGUCACUGGAUAACCCCUCUGGAUCUACACUUUCCUGGAACUGGUUACAGUCUGGUGGAUUUCUUAAGCAGGCAUGCAGUAACCAACUAUGAAUGGUCAGUGUAGACAUCUAUCAUAUUGCACCAGUGGGGAACUCCCACAAUAGAUCUGUUCAUCGCAGAGGGCAACGCCAAAUGCCCAAACUUCCACUCCAGGGAGGGUAUUAGCUUAGAUUCCUUUCCGAACACCUUCCUGCUACAGUGGUCUGCAGAUCUUCCUUCCUCUCCACCCCAGUGUUCCUGAUCCUGAGGGUGAUCUCAAAAAUCAGCCUGGACAAAGCCAUCUUGAUCCUAAUAGCUCCCUACUGGCAGAGGAAAUUUUGGGUGUCUGACUUCCUCUGCAUCACGCGGAUUGCUCAGAGUCACCCUGUGAUUGACCACAUACCCAAGUCUCUCUCCUCCUCCGUUGUGUCUGUCUUAUGACCCCGCAGCUUCUAGCAGAAAUUCUUAUUAGACCCUGAGUGCAUGACCUUGUACUUUAUAUUAUUGAAUUUCAUCCCAUUACUGUCACUCCAGCCUUCAAGGUAAAUUAGAUUUUCUUGUAUAAUGUUCCAAUCCUCCUCUGUAUUGACGCUGCCUUCCAGGUUUGUAUCAGUAAACUUCAUUAGCAUGCUCCUACUUUCUGUGCCAAGGUAAUUAAUAAAAAUAUUAAAUAAGAUUGGUCCCAAGAGUAACUCCACUAGUGACCUCCUUCCAGUCUGAGAGAUCACCUUUCAGCACAUUUCAUUGCCUUCUCUCCUUUAGCCAGUUCCUUAUCCACCUUAUAAUUCUUGUACUGAUCUCCCCCAAUUCAACUAAUAAUUUCCCAUGAGCUACCAGGUCAAAUGCUUUACUGAAGUCCAAGUAUAUUAGCACUACUACACUUCCCUUAUCUAGAAAAAGUUAUUUUCUUAAAGAAGGAAAUAAGGGUAGCCUGGCAUGAUCUGUCUUUGGUAAAUCCAUGUUGCAUUACAUCAUCUUUUCUGUUUACUUCCAUGAAUUUAAUUAUUCUUUCUAUCACAAUUUGUUUUAAGUUUGUGUAUACUACUGAGAUCAGAUUAACCAAUUUGUAAUUGCCUAGAUCUGUUUUUUUCCUUUCUUAAGUAUAGAUAUGACGUUCGCUAUCCUUCAGGCAUGUGGUGCCACCAUCAAGUAGAUAGAGGUAUUAAAAAUCCUUGCUACUGGACUAGCAAUCUCAUGUGCCAGAUAUCUGAAAACCACUAUCAAAUAUUGCACCCAGCCCUGCAGUUGUUGCACCUGGCAGCUUGGAAGUAGGCUGGUUGAGCUCUGUUGGCAGAGACUGUUUUUGACAGGUUCAGUAAAACCUCAUAGAAAGCCUGGAAAUCGUCUACCAGAAAGAUCUACCCCUCCAAAUGAAAAUGGUUCUACUAUGGGGAAUCCAGCAUAAAUUAAUUCCAGUUAAUACCAGAAAUCUACAUGCCAUACUUUAACUACAUGCCACACUUUAAAUAGGCUGGAUUGACUCUUAGUUCUCACAAAAUCCACCUUGCAGCAAUAUCAACAUGUCACACUUUGAUGCAGUCAUACUUGGUCUUCAGUCAUCCAACAAUAUCCAGAUUCUUCAAGGACCUCCUGCAUACAUACCCAGGUGUUAGAGACCUGACUCCUGCAUGAGAUCUUAACACCAUCCUCCUGAAACUCAUGGAACCUCCAUUCAAGCUAUCAUCAGAUAGCUGCAUCAUCACCUUGCCCUUAAGAUGUGCUUUCUGGGAGCUAUUAACUCAGCAUGGAGGGUUAGCAAGCUCUAAACUCUUACGUCUGGAUCUCCUUGUAUCUCAUUUCAUAGGGACAGAGUGGUUCUGAGACUGCACCCUAAACUCAUCCCUAAGGUAAUCUUAGAGUUUAACUUCAAUCAACCUGCCAGUCUUCUACCCUCUAUGGGAGAGAAGAAGCUACUUACUUUGGAUGUUUCCAGAGCCUUGCUUUAUUACCUUUCAGACAGUCUCCCUGCCUCUUUGUGGUCGUAUCAGGCUUGUUGAAAAGCCAAGCCAUCUUAUCUAACUGAAUCAUUUACUGUAUCUCCACCUGCUAUCAAUUAGUUGGUGAACCUCUAUUUCUACACAUCAAGGCAUACUCCACCAAGACACUGGCAGCAUCUUCUGUCUUUUUCAGAAAUGUGUCAAUAUCUGAGAUCUAUAAAGUAACAACAUAGAGCAACCCACUGACUGUAAUUAAACAGUCUAGAGUGGCCCCCUUACCAUCAGCUGCGACUCUGCAUUGGGAAGCUUUGCACAGAGCAGAGGACCCUUCCCAGAUGGCAAUGACUUGGCCGCAGGGCCAGGAGAAAACCUUUGUAAUCUUGUCCAUCUGCCACUCAUCUGUGGCUGUCAUCAAACGCCUUUUCUGCAUUAAAACAUCCUUCUCCUUCUCCCUUAAUCCUCCCUUUCCCUCACUGGCUCCAUCGUCCCUUCCUGAUUUACCCUCACCUCUCUAUAGUUCAGCUAACUCUGCCUGCUACUUUUUCUUCCCCUCUUGAUCCCAGUCUCCCCCCACUUCCCACCAGCUGAAAUCCAGGUCCCACAUCCUCCUCACUUCUGGUGACAUUUAUCCUAAUUCUGGCCCUCCCUUCAUGCCCACUCUCUCCACAUCCUACACACAUUUCUGUCAUCACCUCUGCCCCUUUUAUGUCACCAUUCCUAACUUCACACCCAUCCCUUUUUUUCCCCAUCCCUGCUUCCCUUUUCUUGCUGACUUUGGAACCACUUCAUCUUUAUUAAGAUCACAGUGUAUUCACAUCUCACUCCUUCCAGCUCACAGUUCUUACAGAGACCUGGAUCCCUUUAGCUGAAGCUGCCUCUGAAGCUGCCCUUUCUUCUGGGCCUCUCGUCUCAUGCUCUCCGCAUUGGAUCAGACUGGGGUGAGGGUGUUGGGCUGCUUCCAACAUUUCCUUCUUCCCAUUCUUUCUCCUUGUUCAAAUAGCUCUGCAUCUGACUGUGCUCUCUCUUCCCCUUCCAAGUUGCUGACGACUACCAUUCACCUAACUCUUCCCCAGCAGUCUUUCUCUCUCAUUUUGACUUUUGGCUCUCUCCACAAUCUCCCACAUAUCUCCUCAUAUUCAGCUUCUACGUUCAUGACCCAUCUGACACCUUAGCUGCAUAUUUCCUCGCCCUCAACUCUUCAUUUGAUCUGCACCUCUUGCCAGUUGUCCCACUCAUUAAAGGGCCAUUGACUACGCUGCUCUCCUUGCGUCACUGUCCUCCACUUUUAACUUUUUAACUCUCAUUACAAGAUCAGCCAUGACUCAUCCCCAUCAUCCACUUCAUCAGUUUCUUCUUGCCUUGCCUUCCUUUCCCCCCUACAACUCUUCUCCUUAUCCACUGUCACAGAUGCAGAAGUUUCUCAUCUGCUGUCCUCCUCUAACCCCUCCACUUGUCCCAGAGACUCCAUGUCACCUCCUGAUCUCCCUUGCACCCACUCUCAUCCUCUCACUUGCUAUUCACAUCCUCCACUCUCUUCUGGCUUUUUCCCCUCACAAUACAAGUAUGCUUUAGUCUGUUCCAUCUUUUUUAAAAAAACAACAACAAGCAAAACAAACAAAAAACCCCACCUGUGACCUUACGUGCCUCUCCAGCGAAUGCUUUAUCUCUAAGCUCAUUGAAUGCACUGUCUGUAAUUGCUUUCUGGAGUUCCUCUCCUCCAAGUCUAUCCUAGACCCUUUCCAGUCUGGCUUCUAUCCCUUGCACUCCACUGAAACUGCUCAUGCCAAAGUCUUCCUAUUCAACCUUAGAAACAGUACUCUAUCUGCAUUCUCGACCUUUCAAGAGCCUUCGACACCAACUAUGCUCAAUCUUGUCCAACCUUAUCCAUGACUGUCCUUUCUUAGUUCUGCUUCUUCCUCUGUAAUCACUUCUUCAGCAUGCCCCCUUUCAACUUUCUGAGGGGGUUCCAAAGGGCUUAGUCCUUGGUCUCCUUCUCUUCUGUGUCUCUGAGUAAUCUCAUCUGCAAACAGAAAUUCAACAACUAUUUCUACACUGUUGACUCAUUGAUCUACCUCUUUUCUCUAAACCGGUUUCCUUCUAUCUAAACUAAAAUCUUGGCCCCACUCUGACAUUUUUUCCUGGGUGUCUAGCUGUCAGCUCGUGUUCAAUGUGGCUAAAACACAGCACUUGACCUUUCCCUCUCUUCCUCUUUUGAUCAUUGUGGGCAACACCAUUGGGCCUGAAUGUCAUCUUCAACUCUGAUGUCUCUGUAGGUCGUCACAUCCAGACUAAGGCCAUGUCUAUAUUAGUGAUCUUACAGCUGUAAGAUCACUUGUAUAGCCUCUCUGUGCUGACUGGAGAGAGUUCUUCCAUCAACAUAAUACAACCACCUCAACAAGCGAUGGUAGCUAUGUCCACAGGAGAAGCUCUCUCACCAACACAGCCCUAUGCACACUGCUACUUAGGUUUUUUCACACCCCUGAGUGACAUAAGUUUUGCCGACAUAAGUGGUCAUGUAGACAUAGUUUAAGUCUUGCAGAUUCUUUGUGCAUAACCUCUCUAAGUUGUGACCAUUCCUAGCCAUCCACACAGUCAGAAUUCCUGUUUAGACUCUCAUCUCAAUUGCUGCAACAUCCUUUCUUCUGACCUUGACAAAUGCAAUCCUGCUUGUUCAUGUCCAUUCAGAAUGCUGCUGCAGAGAUUGUUCUCUGAGCCCAUUGCUUUAACGAUGUCACCUCUUUUGAGUUCCUCAACUACCCCACCUCUCUUUUAUUUGCUCAAAGAAAAGCUGCUUGUCUUCUUUCACAGCUCUUCAUGGCUUAACGCCAUCCUACCUCCCAUUCAGUAUCAAAAUGUUGACUCUCUCGCCUCCAGUCUGCCAAUGAUGUCAGUCUCCAUUUGUUAAAUUUUCAAACAGGCACUUUCAUGCUUUCUCCCAUGUUGCCCCUCAUGCUUGGGAGGAGUUCUCCAUAAACAUUUGCAAAGCUAUUUCAUUAUCCUCCUUCAGAUCCCUACUUAAAACUUUCCUUUGCCAUGAUGUUUACACAAAUCUUGAUGUUAGGCUGCUGGUGUUCUGAAACCGCUGCCUGUCAUGCUGAGCAGCAUUGGCUCAUUGUUUCCUUGUACUCCCCUAGUAUCUGUCUGUGUCUGUUGAUGUCUUAUAUGUAAAUUAUAGCAACUGCAGAAUUCAGGACUUAAUCUCCAGUUUGUGCAUAUAAUAACUAAACUGAAGGAUUUCUUUAUUUUAAGACAGUUUUUAAUAUUUGCCAAAUACUUAUUAAACAAAUUAUUUUCUCUAAAGAUGAAAAUGAUGGGAAUUCUUGUGUACUUGCAAUUUUAAGAUUUAUUGUUAAUUUAUUAAAUGUUCUAAAUUUCAUAUUUAAUGUUUUAUAGUUGUAAUACAAGAUUGUACACACAGCAUUACCUGUGACAGUGUUUUUAGAUCUAAAUUCCAUUUUAUUUAUCACUUAAAGUGUACAAAGAUUGGUUAUAUUUUUGUAAAAUGUUCUUUUCCUUAUGCAGCUAUGAAAUAACCUUUAAUAAUGGAAGCUUAGGAUAAACCACAAAGCUUUUUGCUUUUGCUGUCUUUAGAGACCAUAAAUAAGUACAAUGCAACCCAGUUAAAGUUGCUGUAGGAACCUUAACUUUUACAUUUUCUGACUUCAUAAAUUUAACAUUGCAACUUUAACAUUGUACUAAUACAGCUUUUUGGUAUGUAUUGAUAGUGUCACAGGUUUCCUGGCAUGUGAGGCUUUUUAAACCAGAUAGUCCUGGUCUGAAUAAUUUUUAAAAUGUAAGAACCCAGUUCUGCAAUUCCUUACUACUAAGUGUAGUACACAGUGCCCAUGGGACAACUCAAGGUAUUAAGUGCUUCCUCACCAGCAAAGAUGUGUAGGAUUGGGCCCUAAAUUUGAUAGAUAACAGAAGAAUGAGUGACUGCUAAUGAGGAGGAGACAACACAGUGUAACAGAAAAAGAAACAGCUAUUGCAAGUUACUUGUUACACCGGAGCAUUGUGUCUACACAACGGGUUUGCACCAGUACGUUUAUGCUGAUGUGAAAAACCCAAGUGUAGACAAGGACGAAGACUGCUUGCGCUUGUUGUUAAAAAUGAAACAUCAGCUUGUGAUAUGUAAAAAAAAAUUUUAACCUCUCAGUUGUGUCACUUGCCAAACAACAUUUGCUGAAUUUGCAAUGUAGCAAAUCUGGAAUCUAAUUUUUAAAAAACAUUUGACCUAAUAUGUUUCUGAUAUUUUUAAUUGUGCAGUGCAUAGACCACAGAAGUAGGCACUUGAUUUAUUUAUUUUAGAUCUAUAAAAUGACAAGAAUUAAUAAUGUAUGAAUUUGAAAAAUAAAACCACGUACUUACAAUCAGUAUUGUGUACAGGUACCACAUGGUUCGUGGUUCCAUUCAGGAGAUAAUUGUCAGCCCAUGGUGUGACAGCAUGAGUUUAACUUGCAAAAAACCACCACAAAUCUAACUUUAAAGAGCUCAUAAUGAAGGACCAGGAAAGAUCCAUUUUUGGAAAGGUUAUUGUCUUAACUGAAAAUAAGUCUUAAGGUUACCUGCUGUGAUCUUCAGUGCAUAAGAAAUAUGUAAAACAACUCCUGCCUUGUACUCACAAUUUUAUUUAUUAAUAUUAUUGCUUUAUUAAUAACAUUGCUUUGUUUGUAUUACAAUGAUGCCCAAAAUGUUCUAGCUACUUUACAAAUAUGUGAAGAGGGGUGUCUGUUCCUAAGCACUUGAUUUUAAGAGAAUAAAUAUGUGAAUCUAGUGCUCAUAGAAGGAGCCAGAUCAGCAUAUGAAUAAAGAACAGUUGGUUCAAACUAAACUUUUCUUUCUUUCUCGUGUUACAUCAGUUGGAAAGGGGGAAGUGGUUUGAAGAAUUAGCAUAGACACUGGAGUAGUGUGCCUAUUCAGAUCAAAGUUGUGCAAACUUUCAUGGCCCUUUUCAUGGAUCCAUUGCUAAGCCUAGACAAUUAGGUUACAUUGCUGGUAAAAAUAACUUCAAGUUUCAAAUACCUCAAGUUUGCUAGGAAAUGUGACCACUUCCUGCAGUUUCCAUUAUCAUUUAUGAUCACUGUAGCAUCCAGAGGUCUGGUUGUACUCAGUGCUGUGCAGGCCUAUGUUGAAAGACCACCUUUUCCCUGAAGAACUUUCAGGCAAGGUAUAACAGUGUUAGUGUACAGACAACUGGAAGAAAUGUUUGAACGAGGGAAACAGAAAUAGGCAUGUGUAGCUAGAUACUAUGGGGCAACUAUCCAGCCUAGGGAUGAUAAAUGAAUGUUGAACUGCAACUUCUUUGUGAGGCUAAAGGUGGAAGCCAUGCGAUGGCUUUAGUUUAUGCAUAUUAUAGCAGUCCACCUCUUGAGCAGGACAGAGCAGGUUGCUCUUGGCUCCCAGUCCACUUUCAUUGCUAGUUCAAGUUCUUUGGGCCUGAUCUUUAAAAUUACAAGUGGGUCAGGGCUCAAUGAACAUCAGUAACUACACUGCAAUCCAUCAGCUCUUCUCCCCCCGUGCCAGUUGUGUUUCUCUGGGACAAUGAUUCUAAUGAAGGAUGUAAGAGUCAUAGAUAAGCACACUCGUAUGAGUGAUUUGGCCAUGGAAUGAAGCAGUUAGACUAAUGAAAAGUCUACCCAUCUUUAGGGCAAUAUGAAAAAUCUUCAUAUUAGAUAAUAAGCUUUCUCACCAUAGCAGGAAUGAUAUAUAACAUUCUCUGAUGCAGAGAUUAUUAUUACUGAGGAAGGGAGAAGAGCAGAAGACUCCAUUAAUUUCACUAUGGACCUUGCGCUGCACAUUUAAUUUAUAUGUGCACUCAAAUGCUACCGUGAUGGCAGCCCUAGAAAAUCCUAAAAUAGAUAGCAACACUACAGGUUAAAAUCCUCAAACAAUGGAAUCUUUACAACUUUGCAAACUUCCACAUCCCCUUAAUUUGCUUUAACCACGAUGCGGAGAGUGACAAUGCAGGAUCAUUCAGUUCUUGGGCUCUAAGAUUGACAAGGAUAUUAAAGGUGAUGGUGACUUUUGAUGUGACUUUCAGAUUCAGACCACCAGCUAAUUUCAGAUUGACCACUAAAAAGUCAUUAGGUGAUAGAUACUGAUGUUGCUAGGAUUCAUACCAGUGACAUAGUUAAGAAUGUUUGUCGUUACUAAAAUCCUAGGUUCUGUAGUCUCCUACAUACAUUGAAAUAUUUCAUAUUUGUAACGUGUCAAAGGUAAUUAAAAAAUCUAUCUGGAAAUAUUUGUGCAACUGAUAUAUGGGUCAACACUUAACUAAUUUGUGAGCUCUCUGGGACAGGGACUGUCUUUUACAACAUGUAUGUACAGUGUCUAGCAAGCUGCAGCUCUGAUUCUUGAUUGGAGCCUGAGUUACUGCAAUACAGAUAAUAAAAAUAAAUUAUAAUUAAGUAGAUAUUAUAAAUGACUAUGCAUCAUUUAGGUUUAUUUUUUAAAGAAUCAGGCAAUAACAAACAUACCCUACCAAAUUUUAAGAACAAAACUAUAGGUUUAUCUUCCCAGUUCCUUACUGGGCCUUACUGUCCUCAUUUUUGCUGAUUUUAAAAGACUGUUGUGAGGUGAUUGAUUCUCACACAAAGUUCUGUUCACUGACUGAACCUGUUGUGCAUAUCUUUUCAACAGUAAUUCAGUCAAGGUAUGGAAUUUAGGAAAUUAAAGAGAAAAGAAACUAGGCAGAAAUAAAAACAAACUACCAUUGUACAAUUUUUUUAAACCACGUUGGAAAGGCUGGUAAAGUACCAAAAAGCUAACUGCAAUGCCUAUGGAUGUAAAACUGAAUUAAUUUGCUUUAUUAAUGUGUUUUAAGAGUUUACGUGUGGAUGUAAACUAAUAGGGACACUUUUACAAAUAGAAACAUAAAAAUAAGAAAGUGGUAUAAUGGAAUACCUGAGUCAGAUUUAGCAAUCAUUAUAGAAGGUGGCAUAGCUCAAUAAAGUGUGUGCCUAUAAAUUAAUCAGGAGCUUUUUUAUUUUUUGACCCCCCCCCCCCCACACACACACACACAACACGUAGUUUGAAAAGGAUUUUGCUGUGAAGUGAGUAAUAUUUUGUGUGGCAAAUUUAACAAGAUUUAAUUGUGAACAUCAGUAGUCAUCAUAUUUGAACUACAGGUAUCUUAUUUCAUUCUAGGGAAAAGGGAAGAACAAAUAAGCUAAGUAAAGAUUUAUUUUGCUUGCUUACUCAGAUUAGCCCCAUUAGGCAUAAAUGUAAAGAAAAUCUUGGUUUAAAAAAAAAGUCUACAAGUCUGAUGAUCCAACAUCUGUGUUUUGAGAGUGGGUAGUGAGAAAGAUCAGUCAGAAUGAACUAUUCUGCUCUUGUGUCUAGUCCUGUUUCAGCUAUUUCCUGCAGCAUCCCUCUAAACAAUAAAUAAAGAAUUACUAUUGCACUAGUACCUGACUCAAAAAGUUGGUUUUCCUGGGAUGUUGGGAAGCCCACUUAAUUAUAGAGCGCUAUGAGAAAAUAUUUGCAUACUGGUUUCUGAGUAUGGUCUGACUUGAUUGUAACUUUGCUUACUUAAAAUGGGAUUUUCAUAAAGCUGGGUGUAUUGUAAGUAGCAGAUGAACUAGAGCAAACACUGAAAGUGUAGAAUGGUUAAUAUUUUAAUUGUUAGCACGGUGUUUUUUUAUUCAGCAGAUACUAUUCCUGUAGAUUCUAGAUAUAAUUUGGGGUUGCAAUACCAUUGAGCAUAUGUAAUUAUAGUUGAGAAUGAGAUGCUGCAAGGUUUAAUGAACUGGAACUUUGGAUAUCAAAUCCGCUCUUUGUCAGCACCUAAAAGAACUUAAUUCUAUGACUGAAUAAAAUCCAGGUAGCAUUAAGAUGUUGACAAUAUUUUAAAUUAAUUUGGUUGAGGAAAUAAGGAUUCUGGCUAAAUUAGAUACGGGAAACAAUAGAUAAGGGUAACACAGUUGGUGGUUGGUAUAUUUGUCAAAACUAUGAACCAGUAAAUGACCAAGAAUAAGCAUAGUCUUACAUUGUUUUGCUUUGUUAUCGUAGGGAUACCUAGUAUUCUACAUGCACCUCACACAGUGUUAAUUCUGAUGUGGUUAUUACUGCAAUCAUAGCUUAGAUUUUGGCCUCUGACUUCUUUUGAAUGAUCUUCAGUUUAUAUGUGUGUUUUGCACAGGAAGGGGAAAUACGGGAGAGUUCAUUCUGCUCUAUUUCUUUCCCUUUCCCACCCAUAUCUAUAAUCCUCUGUUGACCUUUCAGUUUUGCUUUAAGCAGCAGUGUUUCCUAAAUCGUUUAGCUUUUGGUAUGCUUUGUUUUCCUUCAAAUUGUUGAAUUCUGGUUUGAAGAAAAAUAUCUUGGCAUUGAAACACUAUUCCAGACAUAUGUAAUUUUAUAUAUAUGCAUAUAUAUAAUGCAUCCAAUGAAGUGAGCUGUAGCUCAUGAAAGCUUAUGCUCAAAUAAAUUUGUUAGUCUCUAAGGUGCCACAAGUCCUCCUUUUCUUAUUCCAGACUAAAUGCUUAACAAAACUUUCAGUUCAGAGCAGAUUUACAGUAAAAGCUUUGUUAUCCGGCAUGUUCGGGGAAUAGGGGGUGCUGUUUAAUCAAAAAUUCCAAUUAACUAAGAGUUAUGCUUACCAACGGAAUACCAAUUUUCAAAGAAUUAGAAUACAAUAAAAUUAAUGAAGUAUAAAAUAGUAUACAGGUACUCACAAAUCCAGCAGUAGUACUGCACUGCAGAGUAGUAGGUUUCUUGAAGCACUUAAGUGUGUAUAGGUAAAGUUUUCUAUACAGUAGGUUAUCUUAUGACACUACAUAUCACUAUGGGCAGCGCAUGGUAUACACCCAGAUCACUAAAAAUACACUUAACACUAAAACUAUACUGAACAUAAUUUAAUCUUUGAUGAUUCAGAAGGCACUUCAGGAUCUUGCAGUGCCUUAGGGUCAUCAUUAUAAAUUAUCAUUGUUGCUGUAGAAGGUGUAGGAGAUUGGGCUGAAUCUGUAAUGACCCAAUGACACACCCUGGAAGUUGCUUUUUUGAAUAAAUCUCUGAUAUCAGUUUGCUUACUUGUCUUCUGUCUCUUUUGCAUAAAAGUCGAGUGCAGAAUGUGCAAUUGUAUAACCUCCUGGUCAGCAUACUAGUCCUGGUUACUAGAUUGAAGAUUUGUAUUGGGAGCGAUCAGAAAUGCCAGUUAAUAGAGUUUUCCAGAUGAUAAAGUGCCAGAUAACAGCUUUUACUGUAUAUUGCAGCUGUUUACGUGAGUCUUCAGAGAAUGAAGUAGACAAUAGUUGUCACCAUAGGAUCAUAUACAGUAAUUGGAUAUGGGAAAGAAUUAAAGUCCAUUCCUUUACAAGUGUAAAAUAUGGUCCCUCAACAGACUUGGAGGUUUUUUCUCCUAGUGAAAAGCUGGUAUGAUGAAAAAACAGGCUAUUCAUUAUGGUCAUUUCAAUUCAUUUUUUAUAACAUAGGGAUACUGAUAUUUUCAUUAUGGUAACCUACAAAAAAAACUGAUGACAUUCCUCUUCGGUCUUGCACUUCACUAAAUGUAAUCCUGUGCUAAAAUUUGACUUUCAGGUUUGGAGUUCAUUAAAUUGGGAAUUGAUGACAUUUUUUUGUAUUGUGCUGAGGCUGGCCAGUGCAGGUGGUAUCUGUCUUGUGGGACAUAUCCUUUCCCACCAUGGGAACAACAUAAGGAAUGUCAUCUUUAUUUGCUUUUGUGGCUGAAUGAGUACACAGGUAGCAGUUCUCAUAGCAGCCAGUGGGGAAAGUAAAUCAGUGGGGUGGUGAUGGCCUUUAUAACUGUUUUCUCUCUCUGGAUGAAACUGAUCACUGGGUUAGUUAUUAUUCCUAUGGCUGCAUUAAAACCUCAGGAAUAGUGACAGCCUGCACCUUGCCUUUAUUCAACAGCAUGCAGCAACUUGUAGCUAUUUUUCUAGCAGUUUUCACCCACUCAUCUCAAAGCACUUUAUAAAAAGAAGAUAGCCACCAUCAUCCCCAUUUUGUAGAUAUGGAAAUUGAGGCACACAGCACUUCCCUUCCUAAUGCCCUGUGAGAAGGUGAUAUCCUUCAGGUUUGCCUCAAUAUGUUUCUUACUAGUCAGUGAACUUUUUAAUCUCCCUUGACAUCUCCCCCCCCACAUCCUCCCCCGCCAUUAAUGAGGCCUUGAUGUAAUACCAUCUAGUUGCAGAAAAUGCUGCUCAAGUCCUCCUUCAACACACUUUUAAAAAAUAA